AUGCAUAUUUUUCAGGAUCAACUGAAUGCGAUGCAUCUGAGCCGUCUGCACGCUGCCACGCUUCAGAGCGGUGAGGCGAGGCCGUGCUCUCACUCCAGCCAUGUUGCCAAUAGCGAGGAGGGAGCACACACCAAGAGAAGCGCAUGUGAACAACACCCACAUGCCAUCCCAACCAUCCCUGAGGUGCACGAGCCUCUGGAGAGAAAGGCUCGGUUUAGGAGCCGCAAUGUCAUGUCUCUGAGUGAUGCAGACAGUUUGUGUCUGAUCUGCCAUGACGACCUACGCAAAGGAGGAGGAGUUAUCAGAGAGCUUCACUGUUCCCACAGCUUCCACAGUGAGUGCAUAGAGGAAUGGCUGUGGACCAAGCAGACCUGUCCCACGUGUCAAAAGCGUGUUGCCAUGCCAGAGCCCCUGUACUGGACAUCUACCAGAGUAAUAGUGCCCUGAGCUCUUCCAGCCAGCUCCCAUUCAAACUACCUUGAACAUCAGAUGGCCAACCAAAACAUCAGACAUGAUGGUGGAUAACUGAGUAUGGAUAAAGAACCAGCUACAAAAAAAGGUGGUCAUAUGACUAAUCAGAUUUUGUUAUUCAGGGAAACAGAUUGGUUUUCUUUGUACAUAGGCUAAAGGAUUUUAACAUCACUAAGUGUAAAAUUGUUUUUUUUUUAAUUCAUAUUUACAUAUUAAGAAAAUGUGUUAUUUUCUAUUGUGUUUAUCUUUUUCUGCAGAAAUGUAUGCAAACUGCACAAGCCGUAUGAAGCUGUACAAUUGUAAAUUUUAAAAAUGUACCUUACUAUAUUAGUUAUUCAAAGUAGGCCUACUCACAAUGUUCUGUUUUCAAAAC
rnacentral:lncRNA from 1 species